AAAUGUAGUGGGAGCGGGAUAAUGUAGAGUCUUAUAAAUUAGUUAGAGACUAUGCAGAGGGGUCAUGUGGUAUGACUUACCCACUGUGUUAGCCUGGUCUUACCUGGAUACAGAGCCUUAGACAAAGCUUUGUAAUCAGGAAGUUCAUCUGGGAAGUAAGCAGGAGUGUGGGACCAGAGAAUGUGAAGUAGGAGAGGAAGGGAAGGCUCAUAGCUAUGAUUAGAUUCAGAAUCUUACUAAAUCUGAAGGUACUGAAUACUGGGGGAGUUAUCACCAACCCACUUAACACUGGCAAUGGGGUUGUUCUUGCUGUCUGACAGACAGCUGAUCAGCUCUAAAAACUCAUCUGUAGAAUUUGCUUGGACUACUUCUCAUAGCAACUCUCUUAUCCUGAAUGUCCCCUAAAAUCAGAGCCUGAGAUGAAAGCUUACUGAGGGUAGUUUCUUUAGGGAAUGACCAAGCCUAAGGGACUGGGGGGAAUAAAAUAAAGAAAAACCGUUAUAAGAAUGUAUUCUAAAAUUGGUUGUUUUUGAGAGAAGGCCAAUGGUACUCAGUCAUUUUAGGACUUUUUGACAGAAUAGUCACAAUUGUCUAGGGAAAGGAUGAACAGAAAACCCAUAUACCCACUGGCUUUCAAUACUCCUUACUUGAGUGUCGCUGGGGCUGGGGUACUAAAUCCCCUGCACUUCUGAGUUUCUCGUGCUUGAUUGGCAAGGGGACUCUUGCAUGCUCCCCAAGUUGAAGUAUCUUAGACCCGAGGGAACAGAGCAAGGGAUGCAGUACACAUUUGAACUGAUGUGCUUUUGUCAUGAAGGAAGUCGAAACUUGCCAAGAAAGGGCAGGCUUUAUUCAGUGACAACUCUUGGAACUGAAAGCGGGGAUAUGUCAUAUCUAUUGUCUUCCUACCCUUGUCUUGGUUGGAUUUGAAGAUAAUAGGAUAUUUUCUUAAUAGCCUCCUAUAGAUAUUUUUUGUUUUCUUGCCAGCUGGAGGUGCAGACACAUAAUUUUUCCACAAUGUAACCAACCAAGACAGAUUGCUGAAAACUGGGCAACCUGUGAACAUCUGUCUCCAGCACAGAAUCUCCAGGGAAAUAUUUAUGGGUGAUAAGAAUUCCAAUAUGUACGUGAAAUAAGGAAGUGAAAUGGUGCAGCAGUACAGCUGCUUCCAUUACUCUUCCAGUGCAUGGCAGGUCAGAGAGGGGGGAUGUUUAAUUUGCUGCCAGCUCAUGUCUAGGUAGAGCCAAAGGUGGGGGAAAUCUGAAAUCAGAACCUUGGCUCUCUCAGAAGUAGUCAAGAAAAGCAAAGGAGAAACAGGCAGGGAACACAACCAUGAUCUACUGGCUGGUAUACGUUAUGAGCAGGGAAAGAUAUCAUUCAGUAGUAAAUGUACAAGGAGUCAAGGUUACCAGUUACAGUGAAAAUCAAUAAGCAAUUUAUAAUAAGAAUAGAAAAGAGCCAGAUUUGAGCCAAACUGAGGACUAACCUGGAAGCCAACUUCCCAGAUUACACUGAAAAUCUGCUCCAGAGAAAUAUGGUUUCCAUCACAGUUUUAUAUCUUGUCAGAACCAAGAACAUUAAACAAGUUAGGAAUACAUUUCAAGAAAACACACACAUGCAUGUCAGCACAUACCCAGCAAGUCAGCAUGGCCUUGCAGCUGGGAAGGGAAUCUUAUCAUCAAAGGAGUGGCAGCACUGACAUCCCAGGAGGCAGGGCAUUCAAUCUUUAUUUUUAACAUGGACAUUCUUAACUUCUGGUCAAUGUGCCCUUUUCUCUAAUAAUUAAAGCAGAUGUAGAAUGUAUGGUUGUUAGGCCACAAACAGGCUAUUUUAGUUAGCAUAAAUUUCCUAUUAACUUGGGUAUAAGCUAGAUGACUUCUCUAUAUCUCAAUAUGUGAGAAUUUUUUUUUUUUUUUAUCACCAGUGAGGUAAGGGACAGGGGGGCCCUUGGAUGAAUAGCAGGCUCCUGUGAGAGCUCACAUAAUAAGCCUCCCUUUCUCUUCAGUGCUGGAGCUAAAAAUAGUUGACUGUGGGGGACCUGCUUACUCACCGGGUGAAAAGGCAAGUGUGUUUACACGCUGGUAAGAAGGCGAAGCUGAAAUCCCAGUUUUGCUCAUCACAGUGUUUAUUUUUAUACUUCCGUUAAUGCUAAUAUCCACCUUCUGAGAUCUUGGCUGUAGUAUGCAGAAUAAUGGCCUCCCAGCGAUAGCUGCAUCCUAAUCCCUGAAACCUCUGAAUAUGUGAUCUUACAAUACAAAGCAGAAGGGACUUUGUAGAUGCAAUUAAGCUAAGAAUCUUACAAUGUGGUGAUUAUUCUUGAUUAUCUAGAUAGGCCCGAUGUAGUCAAAUGGUUCUUGUAAGAGGCAGAAGGUGAGAGUCAAAGAAGGAGAAGUGGGGUCCCCACUGGGGCUCAGCAGGUUAAGAAAUGGAUGUGAUCUUCAUAAGGAUGUGGAUUCCAUUUCUGGCCUCCCUCCUUGGGUUAAGAAUCUGGCAUUGCCUCAAGCCGCAGCAUGGAUUGCAGGUGUGGCUCAGAUCUGGCGUUGCUGUAGCUGUGUGUACGUAGGCCUCAGCUGCAGCUCAGAUUUGACCCUUAACCCAGGAACGGCUCUAAAAAGAAAAAAAGAAAGAAGAAGGUGUGAUCAUGGCAUCAGACAUCAAAGUGAGACAGAUUUGAACAUAUUUGGUUGCUGGCUUUGAAGAUGAGGCAAAGAGGCCAAGGCAUACAGGUGGCCUCUAGAAGCUAGAAAAAAUCAAAGAAAAAGAUUCUCCCUAAGAACCAGAAGGAAUGUAGGUCCACCGACAGCUUAUCCUUAGCCCAGUGAGACAAAUUUCAGCUGUUGACCUCCAGACUUGUAAGAUAAUAAGUGUGAGAUAAUUCAGGCCCUGUAUUUGUAGUGUUUUGUUUCAGAAGCAAAAAGAAAUAACAAUGGCCAAUAUCUGGUUACCACUGCUGGCGUUUCCCAUUUUCCAUUUCACUGUUAAGGUAGACAACCAGGCAUACCUCAGACAACUAUUUCUUCCUAGACACCAAUUUUUUUUUAGAAGGAAUGCUGCCUUUCCUACCCUGAUGAAGUAGGCUGAACAAUGAGAAAUCUGAAGAUUCUCUUUCCAUCUUUUGCUGUGGCUAAAACUAUUUCUGUGUAUUCCCGUCGUGGCGCAGUGGUUAACGAAUCCGACUAGGAACCAUGAGGUUGUGGGUUUGAUCCCUGCCCUUGCUCAGUGGGUUAAGGAUCUGGUGUUGCCGUGAGCUGUGGUGUAGGUCACAGAUGCAGCUCAGAUCUGGCAUUGCUGUGGCUCUGGUGUAGGCCGGCAGCUACAGCUCCGAUUAGACCCCUAGCCUGGGAACCUCCAUAUGCCGCGGGAGCGGCCCAAGAAAUGGCAAAAAG
ensembl:lncRNA